UGGGGAAUUUUGGACAAUGGGCGCAAGCCUGAUCCAGCCAUGCCGCGUGCGGGAAGAAGGCCUUCGGGUUGUAAACCGCUUUUGUCAGGGAAGAAAUCUUCUGAGUUAAUACCUCGGGAGGAUGACGGUACCUGAAGAAUAAGCACCGGCUAACUACGUGCCAGCAGCCGCGGUAAUACGUAGGGUGCAAGCGUUAAUCGGAAUUACUGGGCGUAAAGCGUGCGCAGGCGGUUUUGUAAGACAGAGGUGAAAUCCCCGGGCUCAACCUGGGAACUGCCUUUGUGACUGCAAGGCUUGAGUGCGGCAGAGGGGGAUGGAAUUCCGCGUGUAGCAGUGAAAUGCGUAGAUAUGCGGAGGAACACCGAUGGCGAAGGCAAUCCCCCUGGGCCUGCACUGACGCUCAUGCAUGAAAGCGUGGGGAGCAAACAGGAUUAGAUAGCCCUGGUAGUCCACGCCCUAAACGAUGUCAACUGGUUGUUGGGAAGGUUCCUUCUCAGUAACGUAGCUAACGCGUGAAGUUGACCGCCUGGGGAGUACGGCCGCAAGGUUGAAACUUAAAUG
rnacentral:rRNA from 1 species